rnacentral:rRNA from 1 species
GUGGGGAAUAUUGGACAAUGGGCGAAAGCCUGAUCCAGCCAUGCCGCGUGUGUGAAGAAGGUCUUCGGAUUGUAAAGCACUUUAAGUUGGGAGGAAGGGCAGUAAGUUAAUACCUUGCUGUUUUGACGUUACCGACAGAAUAAGCACCGGCUAACUUCGUGCCAGCAGCCGCGGUAAUACGAAGGGUGCAAGCGUUAAUCGGAAUUACUGGGCGUAAAGCGCGCGUAGGUGGCUUUGUAAGUUGGAGGUGAAAUCCCCGGGCUCAACCUGGGAACUGCCUCCAAAACUGCAUGACUAGAGUACGGUAGAGGGUAGUGGAAUUUCCUGUGUAGCGGUGAAAUGCGUAGAUAUAGGAAGGAACACCAGUGGCGAAGGCGACUACCUGGACUGAUACUGACACUGAGGUGCGAAAGCGUGGGGAGCAAACAGGAUUAGAAACCCCUGUAGUCC